AUGCUGUAGAAGACAAGCAGAUGUAAACACUGUGGAGAAAAUGCCUUAACAGUACAUAUAAUUAUCUUCCAGAUCAAGAAGCAUCUUGACGACAUCCCCAGAGUGGAUGAAACCAGUGCCUCUGUAAGGAGAACAUCAAGCAUCAGAGUCAGAAAUGGAGAAGGGUUUCUGCUGAGACACAGCCCAGGGAGCCUGGACAUUUGCCAUCCUGGAGACACAGCCCCAGUGUGUGAUUUAAGCCUCAAGAUGAAGGAAGAUAAUCUUAACUGAGGAAUAAUACUCUGCAGUCAAGCUGCUGAAGAAUGGGGCUGUGAGAUGAUUUCAACAAACAAUCCUUGACAGGAAACCAAAGGCAACAAUGCAC
rnacentral:lncRNA from 1 species